GUAAUAGUAGAUAUCGUAGCUGUUUAGCACUAACCAUUUGAAUCCGCUUAUGUCUUCUUCCACAGUUUCCAUUUGCAAGAUGAUUUUUCUGAGGUUGGGAGGUUCCCCCCCUUUAUAAUAAAAUAUUUUGCAUACGAUUCUAUUUUUCGCAAGAAGGGAUAACUGUCGCAAAAACUGUCAGGACGAGAAGCAGGCUCAACAAAAUAGAUGUUAUCAAAUCCACUCCUUAUGCAAAAUAGCAGAUGCUGUGAAAUAUAAAUGGCAGGGGCCACCAUUUAUAAGUUUAGACAGCCUCUGGACCUGCGCCCCGCCUAACGCUGGAAGAGGAAUCGAAUUGCAAGACUGGGCACCGGUGGGAAAUGGCCACAGGCAUGAUGUAGUACUCACUUCAGUUCAAAACGUUUAAAGUCGAUUUAUUCAAUCGUGUUUACAGCUUUCCUUGCUGAUAUAUGGCUGAAGAGAGAGACCAAAGGGAUGGCAUUCAAAGGUUGUUGGACACCGGAAGCAGAAGGCAACGGAAGAUUUCUAACCUGUUUGCUAGAGCAAUGCUAAGGUAGAGCCCGAUCCUGCUCCCAUUAAACUCAAUGGGAGUUCCACCAUUUACUUCAAAUGGAGCUGGAUAGGGGCCAUUCCUUACUCGAGUGAGUGAAGAUUAUCAUUUCCCGAGUCCCAUUUAAAUACGUAAAACUUCAGUAUCUUUUUAUGUGGAAAUAGAUGGUAAAAAUAGACAUGCAUCGUAAACUAACUGAUUUGAAGCUAUUUAUCCUGUUAAGCUAAUUCAUUACAGGGACAGAUACCACCCGUUCGAUCUUUUUUGACUUGACAAAUAUUGAUUCAGAAGCCCGGCUUCCUAGGUUUCUUCUGAUUCUUUUCAAGCUUGUCCAGAAAGUCCAUCUGGAAAACUAACAACACUUUUGUGCAUGUUUCAAUGGUUUUUGUGGCAACUGGUUAUAUUUGUUUAACAGGAGCUCCUACCCACGUAUCUUUGUAAAACCACUAUAGAAAGUACUUGUGGUGGAUGUCAUAUAUCCACCUGCAUUUCUCAGACAAACAAAUGGAAACUGGUAUCCAGAGGGUUUUUAAUGGUGUGUCAGCGCCUAAUUAUUAAAGCUGACUGAA